AGAACGAACGCUGGCGGCAUGCCUAAUACAUGCAAGUCGAACGAACUCUUCGGAGUUAGUGGCGCACGGGUGCGUAACGCGUGGGAAUCUGCCCCUUGGUUCGGAAUAACAGUUGGAAACGACUGCUAAUACCGGAUGAUGACGAAAGUCCAAAGAUUUAUCGCCAAGGGAUGAGCCCGCGUAGGAUUAGCUAGUUGGUGAGGUAAAGGCUCACCAAGGCAACGAUCCUUAGCUGGUCUGAGAGGAUGAUCAGCCACACUGGGACUGAGACACGGCCCAGACUCCUACGGGAGGCAGCAGUAGGGAAUAUGGACAAUGGGCGAAAGCCUGAUCCAGCAAUGCCGCGUGAGUGAUGAAGGCCUUAGGUUGUAAAGCUCUUUUACCCGAGAUGAUAAUGACAGUAUCGGGAGAAUAAGCCCGCUAACUCCGUGCCAGCAGCCGC
rnacentral:rRNA from 1 species